CAGCCUCCCAAAGUGCUGGGACUACAGGCGUGAGCUGCUGCGCCCGGCUUCUAAUUGGGUUCUGAUCCCCUCCUCCAGUCCCCACCCUGGAAAGUAGCUACACUCAUCUCAUUUGCUGAUGAUGCGAGAGUGUGAUUGGGGUUGGGAAGGUGGUGAGCAGUACAAUAGAUGUUGUUUGAUCCUCUCUGGCCUGACAACACAUUUUGUGAGCUACUUGGUGUUCUAAUUCUUCCCCCAACUCUCAGAUCAAAAGUACAGCCUGUACCAUUGAUGUACCACUCCCCGUGCAGAUAAGAUAGUAAACUUAGAAGAAGUCAAGUAGAGACAACCCGUUUCUUUUACACAUAGUGUGUUUCUGAAAAUGUAUUUUUUCUGGAGGUCCAAAAUGCAAGUCCAUUGAUAGUCCUGUGGAUUUUUAAGUAAGCUGACCUAAUUGCUUACAUGUAAACUGAGACCCUCUUGAGAGUAAAAAGGGGCAGGUGUUAACAAUGAUGCCCAGGCUAGGGGAGUAAUCAGGUUGUCCAGGGAGCACCUAAGAUACAGGGUACCCUCAGUUAUUAUAUGAGGGAGAGUCCCUUUCCUCAGAGAACUAAAAUUAUAAGUUAGAAAACAAUUACACCUCUACAUUUUAGGCAUGAUAAUUGAAAACAUUUGGCCGGGCAUGGUGGCUCACGCCUGUAAUCCUAACACUCUGGAAGGCCAAGGCAAGCGGAUCAUUUGAGGUCAGGGGUUUGAGACCAGCCUGGCCAACAUGGUGAAACCCCUUCUCUACUAAAAAUACAAAAAUUAGGCCGGUUGCAGUGGCUCACGCCUGUAAUCCCAGCACUUUGGGAGGCUGAGGCAGGCAGAUCACCUGAGGUCGGGCGUUCGAGACCAGCCUCACCAACAUGGAGAAACCCUGUCUCUACUAAAAAUACAAAAUUAGCCGGGCGUGGUGGCACAUGCCUGUAAUCCCAGCUACUAGGGAGGCUGA
rnacentral:lncRNA from 1 species